rnacentral:misc_RNA from 1 species
AAGUCGUAACAAGGUUUCCGUAGGUCAAGUUUAGCCUGCCACAGCGGGUCAACCUCGCUACGUCUCCGCUGGAGGCGACACGCUCAACCUGUGGGAAGGCCCGUCCCGGGGAAAUCCACAGCCCACUUCCCUCGCCCCGGAAGUCCGGUUUAGGAGGGCUCCAAUGAGCGUGGGUGCCUGAUCUCUAAGCGCUUUAGGAUAGAGUCCGUCCCAAUGCUAGGUAACCUGCUGGGGGCGAACGAACCUGCGGAAGGUCAUUACAGAAUUGACGGCUUUAGCGAAGCCAGAUUCUCACCCCGUGUAUACACUAUCUCUGUUGCUUUGGCGGGCGCCUGGCGCCUGCCAGAGGGAAACCCUUGAAUCUCGUGCAGUCUGAGCACGAUAAAUAGUCAAAU